rnacentral:rRNA from 1 species
CAGUAGCCGCGGUAAUACGUAGGUGGCAAGCGUUGUCCGGAAUUAUUGGGCGUAAAGGGCUCGCAGGCGGUUUCUUAAGUCUGAUGUGAAAGCCCCCGGCUCAACCGGGGAGGGUCAUUGGAAACUGGGAAACUUGAGUGCAGAAGAGGAGAGUGGAAUUCCACGUGUAGCGGUGAAAUGCGUAGAGAUGUGGAGGAACACCAGUGGCGAAGGCGACUCUCUGGUCUGUAACAGACGCUGAGGAGCGAAAGCGUGGGGAGCGAACAGGAUUAGAUACCCCAGUAGUCCCUGUCUCUUAUAU